rnacentral:rRNA from 1 species
GACGUAGGGUGCAAGCGUUGUCCGGAUUUACUGGGCGUAAAGAGCGCGUAGGCGGUCUGUUAAGUGCACGAGUGAAAUCCCUGGGCUCACCUCAGGAACCGCUCUGCAUACUGGCAGACUUGAGGGUCGAAGAGGUUCGUGGAAUUCCCGGUGUAGCGGUGAAAUGCGUUGAUAUCGGGAGGAACACCCAUGGCGAAGGCAGCGAACUGGUCGGCAUCUGACGCUGAGGCGCGAAAGCGUGGGUAGCAAACAGG